AAAAUACUCCCUCCGUCCGAAAAUACUUGUCAAUAAAAUGGACAAAAAGGGAUGUAUCUAGAACUAAAAUACAUCUAGAUACAUCCCCUUUUAUUCAUUUUGUUGACAGGUAUUUCCGGACGGAGGGAGUACUAC
rfam:Triticum aestivum genome assembly, contig: Triticum_aestivum_CS42_TGACv1_scaffold_405049_5BL